rnacentral:rRNA from 1 species
UGGGGCCUACGGGACGCAGCAGUGAGGAAUAUUGGUCAAUGGGCGGAAGCCUGAACCAGCCAAGUCGCGUGAGGGAAUAAGGCCCUACGGGUCGUAAACCUCUUUUGCCGGGGAGCAAGGGCCGGGACGCGUCCCGGCCCGGAGAGUACCCGGAGAAAAAGCAUCGGCUAACUCCGUGCCAGCAGCCGCGGUAAUACGGAGGAUGCGAGCGUUAUCCGGAUUUAUUGGGUUUAAAGGGUGCGUAGGCGGGCUUUUAAGUCAGCGGUAAAAAUUCGGG